CUGAUCUUUUUAAUCUUGAAGGCCCUGGAGGCUAACCAUAGUGAAAUGUAUUCAGCAUAUCAAGAACUCAGAAACAGUCAGUAUGGGGGCUGCCAAAAGCCCAUCUUAUACUGAGUGAAGGCCAGAGCCUGCUGUAUAUGUUGGUCUUUUUUGUACUACAACCACAUUUUGAAGAGAUUAUUGCAGGUUGGAAAUCCCUUACUUAAAAUGCUUGGGGCCAGAAUCGUUGUUGACUUCACUUUUUUCAGAUUUUGGAAUACCUAUAUUUUCAUAAAUGAUAAUAAGGUAUCUUAGAGGUAGGACUGACAUCUAAACAUUGAAUAAUGCAUGUUUCACAUACACCUUAUACACAUAGCACAUAGCAUAAAUAAAAUAUUUAAUAGCUUUAAAUAAUUUUGCGAAUGAAAUAAGGUCUGUGUACUUUGAACCAUCAAAAAGCAAAGAUGUCACUAUCUCAACCACCUGUGUGGACAAUUUUGGAUCUUGUAAUUCCAGCCGUCCAGAUGAGACUGCCUCUACUGCAAAACAAACAAACAAACAAACCCUCAUUUAAUAAUGCCAAACAUGCCAGGAAUAAAAACCACAUGAAAUCAACAAACUUAAAGUUCCUCAAAGUGGACAAGAGCAAAGCAGACAGCAAUCUCCCAAAGUGGAUAAGAGUACAAGGCACAGAGGCACAGGACACAGAGCUGCUCCCUUGAAGACCAAAAGGUCUGUACUCUCAUGCUAGUGCUCCCUCCGGCACUAAUGAUCCCUCUGGUGCUUGCUCUUAACUCAAAACACUGCUUGUAUGUCAGUGAAACCCAGGCCAAGCAAUGGCUCUUAACUCAAAAUGCUCUUAAGUUGGGCUGCUCUUAAGUUGAGGUUCCACUGUAUGUGCAAGACGUUUAAAAAUGUCUAUGUUGCAUAGGCAAGGGUGACACACUUCAGUCUAACAAAACAAUAAGGACAAAACACAGGGUUGGGAUAAAACAAGGCCACAACUCAUUUAUUGAUUGCAGGAACAAAGGGUUGGCUGACAUGCAUGGGCCCUGGAUUAUGGAUCAGGCAGCCCGCUGCUGACCAAUACCACUAACCUCGCCGGGGUGCUAUGGAACCAUACAGGGCCAACGUCACCUCUGCACCCCUGGCAACCACCGGACACUCCCCCUCCUACUAAUGGGGGGGGGGAGAGUAAGUAAGCCAGAUCCAGGGCCCAUGCCACACACCAACCUAGAGUUGUGACAACAAAACAGCAAU
rnacentral:lncRNA from 1 species